UGUGUGUGUGUGUGUGUGUGUGUGUGUGCACGCACGCAUGCACACACAUGCAUGCAUGUUCACCCAGAUACUUUCGGAUGUCAGAAGAUGGUAUCAAAUUUCCAGGAACUGUUGCUACUGGUGGUUGUGAACACCUGAACUCAGUCCUCUGAAAGAACAACGAGUGACUUCUUUUGCCGAAGGACCACCGCUCCCCUCACCUCCUGUUUCUGUUUCUUAGGUUUUUAUGAACAUGCCCAUAGCCUGACUGCCUCCUAUGCUAUGCUUCCCAGCUGGGUCGGAGAAUGUCUUCAAAGAAAAUCAGUGUCUUGAUUUUAGGCCACAACUGAUUACUGAGCUUUGAGUAGUGGGCCUGGUCACUGACCUUUCUCUUCUCCCCAGUACAGAAUAACAAUAGACACAAGAAGGCUGGGCUUGUCGGUUCACACCUGGAACCGCAGAGGAGCAGAUCGAGAAACGGAACAGCAAAGACCGGAGUUUUAGAAAAUGAAAAGACUGCAGCUUGUGUCUAGUUGGCCCUAACAAGACAGCUGUGAUGUCAGGCUGCUAAGAGUGGAAGAGUCCUGGCAAAGACAAAAUGGAAUAGUCCACGAGAAGCAUUCUCUCAGCACAGCGGCAAUCAGGCUUCAUAAGAGAAAAAGCAGCAAGGGUUUCUAGGUACAGGCCAUGAGACGAGGGUGUGAGAUUCCUGGCUUCUGACGUUUCCUGUGCUCCUUCCUUGAUCAUUGCUUCAGGCACGGGUGCUUCAUCAGAGUCCUUCCAUCUCUUUCCAGCUGUGAUGGGCAAGGAGGCCUCGCACAGCUGCUCUUGCUGGGCGAGAGUCCACAAUUAAAGGCAUCACUGCUCCCA
rnacentral:sRNA from 1 species